AGUCUUGGAAAAACUGUGUUAUGCUUCAAAGCGUCCUUUAGAACAAAUAGGAAGUAAAUCUUACAGAAAUAUAUAGGUAGACAAGAAUUCCCUGUUAGUGUAACACAAAUCCUAGUGGUCUAAUUCAAGAAUCACUAUAAAUCUAGAUCUAAUUUUUACAGAAAAUGAAGCAUAAUAAUGCAGUUAAAAUGUUAUGCACACACUUUGUUCCUACCUCUUUUCCCUACGUUACAAUCACACUUCCACUGCCUUAGUCCUGAGGCCUUGUAAAUUCACUAAAAAGCUAAUGGCCUGUUACUAGCAAUAGCAAUACUGUAUUACAGGCCUGUGUGGUUAUGAAUAAAUCAUUCCAGGAUUUAGGUGUAAAUAUAAUAAGCAAACUUUGCCUUAUCCUUUUCUUGCCCAAGGAAAUAAUUUCUACAGAAGAAUGUGAAGGGCAGAAGCAGAAUGACUUUUAUAGACCAUCAGUGCCUGGAACCCAGGCUGAGAGAGAGACUAUAUUAAGAUUUUAAAGGGGUGGAAAUGAAAGAGCUUUUGCUGUUGAAAGGACAAAUAUCACUCUUGUGAUAAGGACUGUUAAACAAAAUAAAGUAAAGUAAACCAAACCAAAAUAAAAUAAAAGACUUCAAUAUCUGAAAAGAGGACAGGAGAUGUUGAAACCUGUCACCCAUGACUAUGUAAUAUUUUUGUUUCUCAUAAUCAAGACAAUGAGAAUACACUGAAAUACGCUGCAGAUUUUAGAAAGCAUAGCUUGUCUGUUUCAGAGGCCUGUUUAAAUCUGAUUUGUUUUUGUCUAAUUUGCAUUACAGAAUUGAAAGUCUUUCAUACUACAGUACUUCUCUUCAGCUGAAUGGAAUAAUUCAUUAAUUUGUUGAAGCUCUCUUCAUUUAAGAUUAGAGCAGGAUAAUGUUAACAGAUAGUUCAUUUCUUAUAGCUCUACUGCUAAGCACUGAAAAGUCUUGAAAAUAAUAGCAGUGCUUGAACAACAUCAAGACCACCUCUGUUUCUUACUCUGCUGUCCCCUGGCGAGAAUGCCAGAGGUGGGUGAGAGUUUGGGACCAGACACAGUCAGGACCACUGACCUCAGCUGACUAAAGGAAUAUCCCAUACUGUGUAACAUCACACUUACCAAUAAACUGAGGAGCAGUCUUUCCAAAGUACCAUUAGAGUCUGUAUGAGGCCAGUCAUUGUUCUGCUGGUAGGAGGUGUUUUCUCCUUCUUUCCUCUGGGGGCAAGGAGUGAGUGAGCAGCUGGUGCUUAGUUGUUAGCUGGAGUCAAUCCACCACAAAAGUGAAAGUGAGCUGGAAUAAAAAGAACUACAGAGCAGCUGAGGUGACAAGGCACCUCUGGAGAUCAUCUCAACCAAAUUCCCUGUUUACAGCUAGGUCAACCAGAGAAAGCUACUCUGGGUUGUGUUCAUUUUUGUUUUUAAUAUCUCCAAGAAGGAAGACUUCACAGACUUUCUGGGCAUCUUUAUCAGUAAUCAAUCACCCUCAGUAAAAGAGUGUUUCCUAAUGUUCAGGUGUCACAUCCUGUGUUUUAGUUUGUGCCAACUGCUUCUACUUCUGACACUGGGCACCACUGAAAAGAACCUGGCUUCAUACUCUUUGCACUCUCCCUUUAGGUGUUUAUUAAUGUUGAUGAGAUCCCACAGAGCCUUCUCUUGUCCUGGUUGAAGACUUACUCUCCCUCAGUCUCUUCUCAUAAGACAAAUGAUCACUUGAGCAUCUUCAUGACUCUUUUCUGGACUCACUUGAUCUGCAUGUCUCUCCAGGGAGCCCAGAACAGAAGACAGCAGUCCAGGGAUGACCUCACCAGAGCUGAGUAGAACUGCUUUACUUUUUUAAAGGACUUUGGACUUGAAUGUGAAACUUACAUCUUUGUCAAAUAGUUUACCUUCAGCAACCCAAACUUUGCAGAUUUUUUGUACAUCCUACAAACAAAGGACAAUAGAUAGUGAGUAUAUGGGAGCCCAUGUAAAGAAAGCAACUGUAAGAAAACACAUCAAUGGAAAAGAUCUUUUUAUGGAGUGAUAAGAUUGUAUGACAGAUGAUCUUAAUAAAAUACUAUUCUUUAAAGAAUGCUAUGAUUCUCUGGAACUUAAGACAAACUGUAACUAUUAUCACUGUCUUCCACUAGCUUAGGUACUGAAGGUUUGGGUGCAGUUGAGCUUUACAAUGAAAUAAAAUCAAGGAAAGCCCCAAAACUCUAAAUUGUUGUUGUUUUCAGAGAUUUUCGGUAUGUUUGUGUAAAUUCAUGAGUGGUCAAGUUUUGUCCGGGAAGUAGUUUGAUUUGGUUCGUGUGAUUUAUAUUGUUACCUAAGAACAUAUGUAUGCUUGUUACUGUAUUAAUGGGAAACCAUAAACCAUUGGGUUGCAUUUAUAAUUUGAAUUCAUAAAGCAGAGCAAAUGCUUUUAUUGUGUUUAUGUAGCAAGGUUUUGGUACCAGGGGAGAAGACUGCAGGAAUGGCUUCUCUCCAUGUCAGUCAGAGAUAACUCCAACUGACUGCAAGAUGGACAUGCCACUGGACAAAAAUAAGCCAACCAGUGAUGCUGUUGAUGUCUCUGAGAUAGCAUGGUAUAAAACACUGUACAGCACCUUAGAGACAAGAGUGAGAAAACAUGAGAGAAAAAAAUGGGCAUGCGAUUUCAUUUUCUAUUGAAUUCCAUAAACUUCAGAAAAAUGCAUUAUUUACCAUCUAACAUUAUAUCUUUAUUUUUACAGCUAUAAAUCAGAUCACAAAACAGAUAAAACAAAAUCUUCAAUACUGUGUGUCACUUUAGCAGAAAACCUUUUUUCCAAACAACCUUUAGAUUGUUCACACAUUUGUAACCAGGACAGAAGGAACAAAACAGACAUGACUUCUAUUUCAGGAAUGACAAAUUGCAACAUUUACAAAUAAAACGUUCUCUUAAUAAUAACCUGAAUCCAACACAGCUUGAGAUCCUCAUAUCAAAGUCCGAUAUAGAGUCACAUAAUGCAUAUUUUAACUCCAAGAAGUAUAUUAAAACACCCCAUACCAGUAACAUAUGAUACAUUGAUUCUACAAAAUUAUAAAUUUUAGAUGUGAAUUUCUUUGGAUGGUGACAUUUUUCACUGAAGAAAUUAUGUAGAACACACUGAAGGAAAUGAGAAGUUUACUCAUUUGAUAAAAGGUUUUGGAUCAUUCCUUCAGUCUGAAGAAUAAUAAAAAAAUUAAGCCCAAAAGAAAGCAGUAUUUCUGAAAGAAGGUGACUUUUUAAAUUUUAUUUUGGAAUACCAGCUAACUGCUGCCAUCUACUCAGAGACUAUAAACUGUUUUUCUUACCCAGUGUUGUUAAGUCUUCAACUUCUCUUUUAAGACAGUCAGAGAGAUCUUUCAUGCCAGUUGUUAAAAAACUCAUUUGAUGAUAUUCUUUCUUCUACCACUUUGCAAAGUUAUUAUUAAAAUUUUACAAUAACUUAGGAACAAAUGUUGACGUUGAGUAUUAUAUCUACAGAGACAUCUACAGCGUAACUAUGGUGUAGGGACACUGGGUUAUUAGUGCAAAUUUCUUGAAAGAAUGCAAAAAUUUCUGAACGGAUUUUGUGGCUGCUGAAGUGAUGACAUAGUUCAAGGCAAUAAAUGAACUAUGACCACUGUGAGGAGGAGGAUUGUUUACCAGAGUCCAAGUUUCUAUUUCUUCCUGCCACUUACUUGCUCUUUUGAGGAUGCUUCCUCACCCAAGACCACCUUAAAACCAAACAAAACCCCCGAAGCCAAAACCAACCAACCAACCAAAAACCAAGGAAGAAAUAUGAUCUAGUGCUUCCUGAUAUGCCAAUAGCUCAUUAAAUGGGUAGCUAUUAGGAAUUUGUUUUUCCACUGAAAAGGUGGUCAGGCACCCAGGGAUGUGGCGGAAUUGCCAUCCCUGGAACUGUUCAAAAGGUGUGUAGAUGUGGCACUUUGGGUUAUGGUUUAGUGGCGCAGAGUGGUGCUGUGUUAACUCAGUAAUCUUAGACGUGCUUUCCAACCUUAAUGAUACUAAGCCUAUGAGUAUUUAAACUGAAUGGUCUACUUAAAUACAUUGUCUUGUAUCUUUUACAAAAGAAACUCAAAAGGUUCCACAAGUUUGCAAAAUCUUUCUAAUUACAGUCUGCAAACUGCACCAUCAGUAACAGCACCAUCAGUGAAGCAAACCAUAGUGAGCAAACCUACUGUCCUAAAUUGCCUACAGUUUUUUGAAGGUCUUACUUAGAGUCUGCAUUUUAAAAAGGAAGCUGGUUUACACUUAGAAGCUGUGUAUCAUCUCAUACAUCAUACUUUAGAGUACCAUCAAGAUUUUUAUUUCGCGAAACUUUAGGUUGUCAGUGACAGAGGCAUCAGUUUUGUUUCUACAGUAGUACCGCAGGAAACAAGAAGAGAGGUUUUAGUGUUAAAACUCAUCAGUUAUAUUACUCUUGUUCACAUUCCUGAAUGUUGCUUUUUAUUUUCCACUUUUUAGAAAAACGUGGUGCCCUUAAUAAACUAGUUCUCAUGUCACCUUGAAGAACAGUGAAUAUUCUCACAUUUAUAUGACUGCUAUAUGUAGAUACAUGUGUGAGAAGGUAGAAAAAAAAAUCCAUUAAUUUCACUGAAUUUACUAGUCUCUAGACAAAUAAACAUAUAUUUCUUUUUCCACAUCAU